AGCUCCAGUAGCGUAUAUUAAAGUUGUUGCAGUUAAAAAGCUCGUAGUUGAAUUUCUGGGGUAAAAUGCCUGGUCCGUCUCGAAUGAGAAUGAGUAUCAGUUUGCAUUUUCCUCAUCCUUCUAGAUAUCUGCAUGGCCUUCAUUGUGUUUGUGUUAGUGUCUAGAUCUUUUACUUUGAAAAAAUUAGAGUGUUUAAAGCAGGCUUUGCGCUAUGAAUACAUUAGCAUGGAAUAAUAAUAUAGGACUUUGGUCUUUGUUAUUGGUUUCUGGACUAAAGUAAUGAUUGAUAGGGAUAGUUGGGGGUGCUAGUAUUGAAUGGCCAGAGGUGAAAUUCAUGGAUUCAUUCAAGACUAACUAAUGCGAAAGCAUUCACCAAGGAUAUCUUCUUUAAUCAAGAACG
rnacentral:rRNA from 1 species